CCUACGGGAGGCAGCAGGGAGGAAUAGUGGGCAAUGGACGCAAGUCUGAACCAGCCAUGCCGCGUGCAGGAAGACGGCUCUAUGAGUUGUAAACUGCUGUUGUACGAGGGUAAACGCAGAUACGCGUAUCUGUCUGAAAGUAACGUACGAAUAAGGAUCGGCUAACUCCGUGCCAGCAGCCGCGGUAAUACGGAGGAUUCAAGCGUUAUCCGGAUUUAUUGGGUUUAAAGGGUGCGUAGGCGGUCGGAUAAGUUCGAGGUGAAAUCCCGAGGCUCAACUUCGGAAUUGCCUCUGAUACUGUUCGGCUCGAGUGUAGUUGCGGUCGGCGUAAUGUCUGGUGUAGCUGUGAAAUGCU
rnacentral:rRNA from 1 species